rnacentral:tRNA from 1 species
AAAGUUAUAGUCAAAAAUGACAUUUGAGUUGCAUUCAAAAAGUGCUUAUACAAAGCUAACUUUA